AACGAACGCUGGCGGCGCGUUUUAAGCAUGCAAGUCGAACGGUAUUCUGCACUCACUUUGACUUUUAAGACUAUGUACUCUGGUUACGGUUUUAACCAAGUAUAGAGCUUUUGAGAGGCAAAGUGAGUGCAGAAGAGAGUGGCGAACGGGUGAGUAACACGUAGGUAAUCUGCCUUGAGGCUGGGGAUAGCCUGUGGAAACACAGGGUAAUACCGAAUAUGUUUUUAUGUCUGAAAUGACGAAAGAGCAAAGGGGCUUCGACCUCGCCUUAAGAUGAGCCUGCGGUUCAUUAGUUAGUUGGUGGGGUAAUGGCCUACCAAGACGACGAUGAAUAGCCGGCCUGAGAGGGUGACCGGCCACACUGGGACUGAGACACGGCCCAG
rnacentral:rRNA from 1 species